rnacentral:rRNA from 1 species
UACAGAGGGGGCGAGCGUUAUUCGGAAUUACUGGGCGUAAAGGGCGCGUAGGCGGCCUGCUAAGUCGAACGUGAAAUCCCCGGGCUCAACCCGGGAACUGCGUCCGAUACUGGAAGGCUUGAAUCCGGGAGAGGGAUGCGGAAUUCCAGGUGUAGCGGUGAAAUGCGUAGAUAUCUGGAGGAACACCGGUGGCGAAGGCGGCAUCCUGGACCGGCAUUGACGCUGAGGCGCGAAAGCCAGGGGAGCAAACGGG